UACGGGGGGGGCAAGCGUUGUUCGGAAUUACUGGGCGUAAAGGGCGCGUAGGCGGCCUUCUAAGUCGGACGUGAAAUCCCCGGGCUCAACCCGGGAACUGCGUCCGAGACUGAAAGGCUUGAAUCCGGGAGAGGGAUGUGGAAUUCCAGGUGUAGCGGUGAAAUGCGUAGAUAUCUGGAGGAACAUCGGUGGCGAAGGCGGCAUCCUGGACCGGUAUUGACGCUGAGGCGCGAAAGCCAGGGGAGCAAACGGG
rnacentral:rRNA from 1 species